AUUGAACGCUGGCGGCAGGCCUAACACAUGCAAGUCGAGCGAGCGGCGGACGGGUGAGUAAUGUCUGGGAAACUGCCUGAUGUAGGGGGAUAACUACUGGAAACGGUAGCUAAUACCGCAUACCAUCAGAUGUGCCCAGAUGGGAUUAGCGGGGAGGUGGGGUAAUGGCUCACCUAGGCGACGAUCCCUAGCUGGUCUGAGAGGAUGACCAGCCCCACUGGAACUGAGACACGGUCCAGACUCCUCCACGAACCAUCAUUUCUAAAUAUUGCACAAUUGGCGCAAGCCUGAUCCAGCCAUGCCGCGUGUAUGAAGAAUUCCUUCGGGUUUUAAAGUACUUUCAGCGGGGAGGCGUUACCCGCAGAAGAAGCACCGGCUAACUCCGUGCCAGCAGCCGCGGUAAUAC
rnacentral:rRNA from 1 species